rnacentral:misc_RNA from 1 species
GUAAUUGAUAGAAGGGAGUAUUUAGAAAGUGAAGACUAGAAUGGAAAAGAAAAGCGUAGCAGCAUGAGUGAUCCAAAUCUAAUUAGAUGGUUGCAAUUCUGUAAGAUAAUUAAGGUUGGGUUCAUUGGAGACUGAAGUUGUGAGUGGUGGAGAGUUUUGUUCUAAUCUUGUUUCAUGGAAUGAGAGGAUAGAGGAAGUAGAAAUGACUGUCAAGGAUUAGAAGAGAUGGGAGGAUGACAUUAGUAGUUUA